rnacentral:rRNA from 1 species
AUUGAACGCUGGCGGCAGGCCUAACACAUGCAAGUCGAGCGGAUGAAGGGAGCUUGCUCCUGGAUUCAGCGGCGGACGGGUGAGUAAUGCCUAGGAAUCUGCCUGGUAGUGGGGGAUAACGUCCGGAAACGGGCGCUAAUACCGCAUACGCCCUGAGGGAGAAAGUGGGGGAUCUUCGGACCUCACGCUAUCAGAUGAGCCUAGGUCGGAUUAGCUAGUUGGUGGGGUAAAGGCCUACCAAGGCGACGAUCCGUAACUGGUCUGAGAGGAUGAUCAGUCACACUGGAACUGAGACACGGUCCAGACUCCUACGGGAGGCAGCAGUGGGGAAUAUUGGACAAUGGGCGAAAGCCUGAUCCAGCCAUGCCGCGUGUGUGAAGAAGGUCUUCGGAUUGUAAAGCACUUUAAGUUGGGAGGAAGGGCAGUAAGUUAAUACCUUGCUGUUUUGACGUUACCGACAGAAUAAGCACCGGCUAACUUCGUG